rnacentral:lncRNA from 1 species
UGCAGAACCAAGUUCACAGUCAAGGGCAAUCAAUUCCUAUCUCUUUACAAAGUAAUCAAUCUCAAGCACAACUGUUACCCCAGAGUGUCCCGAAUAACAUGGCGUCUGCUGGAGUUCAAAGUUCUGCUGGUUUACAAUCUGAAAUGCCUGCCAUCUCUGGUCACAAUCUGAAAUGCCUGCCAUCUCUGGUCUAACCCUGAGUUCUGUACCUGAUGUUGUAGAACAACAUGAAUAGGUAGUAAUUAAUAGCCUUAAGAUUAAGUCUUUGUAGGACGAUAUUUACAACUUUGGCUUUAUCGUGCUUAUGCCUUGGAAUAAUU